CCUACGGGGGGCUGCAGUGGGGAAUAUUGCACAAUGGGCGCAAGCCUGAUGCAGUCAUGCCGCGUGUGUGAAGAAGGCCUUCGGGUUGUAAAGCACUUUCAGCGGGGAGGAAGGCGUUAAGGUUAAUAACCUUGUCGAUUGACGUUACCCGCAGAAGAAGCACCGGCUAACUCCGUGCCAGCAGCCGCGGUAAUACGGAGGGUGCAAGCGUUAAUCGGAAUUACUGGGCGUAAAGCGCACGCAGGCGGUCUGUCAAGUCGGAUGUGAAAUCCCCGGGCUCAACCUGGGAACUGCAUUCGAAACUGGCAGGCUAGAGUCUUGUAGAGGGGGGUAGAAUUCCAGGUGUAGCGGUGAAAUGCGUAGAGAUCUGGAGGAAUACCGGUGGCGAAGGCGGCCCCCUGGACAAAGACUGACGCUCAGGUGCGAAAGCGUGGGGAGCAAACAGGGAUUAGAUACCCUUGUAGUC
rnacentral:rRNA from 1 species